UACGUAGAGUGUAAAGGCAAAAGAGAGCUUGAUUGCAAGACAUACAGGUCGAGCAAGGAUGAAAAUCGGACUUAGUGAUCCGGUGGUUCUGCGUGGAAGGGCCAUCGCUCAACGGAUAAAAGCUACCCUGGGGAUAACAGGCUUAUCUCCCCCAAGAGUCCACAUCGACGGGGAGGUUUGGCACCUCGAUGUCGGCUCAUCACAUCCUGGGGCUGUAGUAGGUCCCAAGGGUUGGGCUGUUCGCCCAUUAAAGUGGUACGCGAGCUGGGUUCAGAACGUCGUGAGACAGUUCGG
rnacentral:rRNA from 1 species